UAGGCGGACGGGUGGAGUAACGACGUGGGUAACCGUAGCCUCAUACAGGGGAGUAACAGUUAGAAAUGACUGCUAAUACCGCAUAAGCGCACGGGACUGCAUGGUCUUGUGUGAAAAACUCCGGUGGUAUGAGAUGGACCCGCGUCUGAUUAGCUGGUUGGCGGGGUAACGGCCCACCAAGGCGACGAUCAGUAGCCGGCCUGAGAGGGUGAACGGCCACAUUGGGACUGAGACACGGCCCAAACUCCUACGGAAGGCAGCAG
rnacentral:rRNA from 1 species